GGCCGCGUGGUGUAAUGGUUGCACACUCUCACAAAUACUACUCUUAUAUCAUUACUGUUUCUUUCCUCCUGAUGAGAGAGGGGCAGGUUCGAUUCCUGCCGUGACCA
rnacentral:tRNA from 1 species